GACGAACGCUGGCGGCGUGCUUAACACAUGCAAGUCGAACGGAAAGGCCCUGCUUUUGUGGGGUGCUCGAGUGGCGAACGGGUGAGUAACACGUGAGUAACCUGCCCUUGACUUUGUGAUAACUUCAGGAAACUGGGGCUAAUACCGGAUAGGAGCUCCUGCUGCAGGGGGGGGGUUGGAAAGUUUCGGCGGUUGGGGAUGGACUCGCGGCUUAUCAGCUUGUUGGUGGGGGAGUGGCUUACCAAGGCUUUGACGGGUAGCCGGCCUGAGAGGGUGACCGGCCACAUUGGGACUGAGGUACGGCCCAGACUCCUACGGGAGGCAGCAGUGGGGAAUAUUGCACAAUGGGCGGAAGCCUGAUGCAGAAACGCCGCGUGCGGGAUGACGGCCUUCGGGUUGUAAACCGCUUUCGCCUGUGACGAAGCGUGAGUGACGGUAAUGGGUAGAGAAGCACCGGCUAACUACGUG
rnacentral:rRNA from 1 species